GCAGAGUUUCAAGGCGUCUGACUGAAAACUUGGGAAUUCUGUAAUCUCACCAUGUCGUUUGAAGGCCACCAUAACAAACAUAUGCAAUAUGGUUUCGGGUGACAUUUCAGGUCCUCCUGUGAACUGAAGGCACCAGAAUGGGAAAUGGUAUCAGACCUGGGAGUAUUCAUAAACUUAAACCUAAGAAAACCUAAAAGAUGAACGUCCACUAGAUGGUGCCGCACCCGUUUUCAUGCUGAUGGAGGACUGUUGGAGCUCCCAUAUGGCAGGACUAAAGAAGGAAUGGAGGUCUUCAAUCUUGCGCAGUUCUACAGUUUGAAAAAAAUGAAAGCGUUUCCUAACCAGGCUUUUCCAAGAAGCUGGUGAGAAGUUUGGGCUGUACUGGAAGCCAUAAACCUUCCUUUGUGGCGAUAUAGGUUUGAUAAAGUAAUGUAUCAGUGUUUGUGUGCCAUUUAAUGUAGUAAUUAAUACAAUAAAGAUCCUGUCAUAAUGUUGUACUUUAUUUUAUUCUUUAACCAAAUCAUACUCUGUGCAAUUGAUGCAAACUAAAGAUUUGAAGUCUGAGGUUUUAUUUAUAAAUAUUUAUGGGGGGUAGUAGUUCACUCGAAUAAAACUACUCCAUGUGCUUCCAUG
rnacentral:lncRNA from 1 species